CCUACGGGAGGCAGCAGUGGGGAAUUUUCCGCAAUGGGCGAAAGCCUGACGGAGCAAUACCGCGUGAGGGAAGAAUGCCUACGGGUUGUAAACCUCUUUUAUCAGGGAGGAACAAAAUGACGUGUACCUGAUGAAUAAGCAUCGGCUAACUCUGUGCCAGCAGCCGCGGUAAGACAGAGGAUGCAAGUGUUAUCCGGAAUUACUGGGCGUAAAGCGUCUGUAGGUUGUUGAACAAGUCAACUGUUAAAUCUUGAAGCUCAACUUCAAAAUCGCAGUCGAAACUGUUUGACUAGAGUAUAGUAGAGGUAAAGGGAAUUUCCAGUGGAGCGGUGAAAUGCGUAGAUAUUGGAAAGAACACCGAUGGCGAAAGCACUUUACUGGGCUAUUACUGACACUCAGAGACGACAGCUAGGGUAGCAAAUGGGAUUAGAUACCCCAGUAGUCCUAGCCGUAAACUAUGGAUACUAGAUGUUGAACAGAUCGACCUGUGCAGUAUUAAAGCUAACGCGUUAAGUAUCCCGCCUGGGAAGUAUGNUCGCAAGAGUGAAACUCAAAGGAAAUUGACGG
rnacentral:rRNA from 1 species